CCCCACCUAAUUCCUUCUUCGGAUCCCUCAAUUUCCACUCUUCACUAUUUUCUCCAAUCCAGAUUCAAAAAAAUAAUUUUUCCCGGCUGUAAUGGCACCUUGUUUCUAAACAACUUAUUAACUAAAAUUUACUGCAGUAACUAAAUUAAUUUUCAACACAUCUAAUUACUCAUUUUAACGGGUGCGGGGUUGAUCAAGUUGGAGGAAAAAACAAUUGAAGAAUUUGCUCACUGGAUCUGAUCAAACUUUCUCAUUGUUUCUGAGCGGAACCAAUCAUGAAUUCCUUUUCUUUCGGCAUGCGUCUUAGGUUAGUAACCCAACCCCAAUUAAAACUCAUGUUUCUUGUGCUUGUUAUUGGAUCAAAUUUGCAAAAUAUUAUCUGGGUCAUUGAUUUUUUUUUGCUGAAAUUUUCUGAUUUUCAGUCUGAAGUUUUAGAUACGAGCUCCUCUCGAUUUGGAUUCAUUAUAUAUAAUUCACUCAAAAUAAUUUUCGUUUUUCAAAUCAUUUUCGUUUGCGGUAUUUCAAAUUUUCAAAUCGAGCUUUGAAGCUUUAGUGGUUGAUCAAUCAUAGAAAGAAGGAAGUAAAAGAAGAAAGAAGAAGGUAGAAGAAGCCAUUAAUGGCUGAAUCCCAGAAGGAAGAAGAACAAGCAGUAUGAUGAAUGGCCAGUUUGGAUAAUCUUAGUAAAGUUAGGCUAAUUUCUUUGCAGACAAAAUGACCGACGGGCGUAUCGCAUAAUUAUUCCAUAAUAUUAUCGUUAGGGAAUUUCGUCUUUGAAAGGUAAUUAUAAUCAAAGAACAGUUAAACUAUGAAAUUUCUAUUUUGUGAACCAAAAAAUUAAUAUUUCUUUAUACUAUAAUAUAUCAAAAUUGAUUGUACAAUUUAACAUUUACGUUACAGAAUAUUUAAUUUAAUAAAAGGGUGCUAAUCAAUAUAUAUAUAUAUAUACUAGUUCCACCCAGGCGCGUGCCAAGACGGGUAUUAUAUUUUUAUCUUUUAAUUAAUCUUAUUUAAUGAAAUAUUAAACAUGCUUUUUUGAUAAGUAUUCAUAAUUAUUUAAGUUAAUAAUUAUCUAAUUGAAUAAUUUAAAUUAAAAUAUUAUUUUUGAGAAAUAAAUAUAUUGUCAGAGAAUUAGAUAUAUAAAUAAUUCUUGAAGAUAAAUAAUUUUUGAAGAUAAGUAUAUAAAUAAUUUUGAUUCGCCAAAAAUAAUAAAUCAAAAAAUAUGAUACUUUUAUGAAUUUGUUAGUAUAGAUAAAAUAAAUUUAUUUUGAUGAAAAAUCUUUUUUUCUUCUUAUAGAAUUAUUUACUACAACAAAUAUUUUUAUCACUUCAAGUUUAUAUUAAAAUAAUUAGAACAUUAAUUUAGAGUCUUAACACAAAUGACGAAUAAGGACAUUAAAUAGUAAUUAAAUUACAUAAUACAUUACUCAUUUACUUGUCAUAUUUAUUUUCUUACACGCCCUUUAAAGAAUAAACUUUUCUUCCCAUUAUAAUUAUUAAUUUACUUUUUUGAUGUCCACUAAGAAAAAUAGUAGUAAAUAUAAGAUAAUGCCUAUUAAGUUGUCCUAUUUAGUACUUAUAUUUUUUAAAAAAAAUUAAAUAAGAUUUGUAAAAGAUUUCAACCGUGUAGUAAAAAAUUAUUGCAAACGUUAAUUUCAUGUUAAAAGGUAUUUUGACGUAAUUUUUUUUCAAGUUAAAGUGAUUGUUUUUAAUAAAUAAAAGAAGUUAUAAUUAAAAGGCAAUCCAAUAAAUUACAAGAGGAAACCAAUUAUAAAAGGCCAAGUGAAGAUGGCCUUAACAAAAAAAGGAGAGGGCAAAAAUAAAAAUAUACAAGAAAAGGAAAUCAUCAAUGCACUACAAAUUUGACAUGUACAAUAACUUUGCUUAAAAAAAAGUGAAAUGUCUAAAAAGUCCUUGUGAGGACUACCAAACUUGUGAUUCUCCCUUAUAUAUAAGUACUAGUCUCGGGGGGGCCGUGCUAAGCUCGGGGCCAACCUCAAGAUCUAAAAAGUGAAAUGUCUAAAAAGUCCUUGUGAGGACUACCAAACUUGUGAUUCUUCCUUAUAUAUAUAUGUAUAUAUAUAUAUAUGUAUAUAUGUAUGUAUGUAUACUAGGUGGGAAUACACUGGGUAUGCUGUUGUUGAUAUGUAGGACAUACAACAAUAAAUAAUGUAAAUACAAAGUAAGAAAACAUGAAUGAAUGCAAGAAGAUGAUUUCAAUCAAACCUAAAAUAAGAAGAAAAGUAGAAGUAGAAGAAAUUGACUCACAAUUUUUAACUUCAUAAUUAUAAGUAAAGUUUAGCCGUAUCUUUAACAUCUCAAUAAACAUGGCCGAUGAGAUAUAAGAACAAUAUAAAUUUUAAUAAUAGUUAAUUUUUUAUUUAGACGAAUAUGAAUCCUUGUGGGUUAUUGCAUAUAGAUUCUAAAUAUAAUUAUAAGAUGUAGUUCUAACCAAAUUGAUUCUUAUUUACCUAUGUACGUAAUUCUAAUAAGUUGACUAAAGAAUCCUAAUUAAUUUAAGUUAUUGAUAUUACAUGUUUUUAUAUUUGGAAAAUGUAAGAAGCCCUAAUAUUCACUUUGGAAUUAACUAAAAUUGAACUUACUAAAUCUUUCCUUGUAAUUGUUUGAGUUAUGUUAAAAUUCAAAAAUUUUAAAAAUAAUGUAAAUUUUACAUUUAGAUUAAUUAUUGUAGGGUGUAGGUUGGUAGAAUCCUAUUCAACUCCUCCUUUAAUAUUUUAUAUUAAAAACUUAAAGUACUUAAACUUUACCUUAUAUAGAAAUCUGAGUAUAUGAUGUAUAAUUCCUUCAUGUUAGGUUUCUUUAUCUUAAUCAAAUAAAAAUUAACAUGGAAUUUGUGAUGCUUUUUUAUUAAUUAAAAUUUAAAAUUUACGUGUGUGGUUUUCACUUGUUAAAGGACAAUUUUCUUAAACUUUUCUUACCAUAUAUUUUAAGACUCCUUUUUCAUGUACACAGGGAUAAAACAAAACCUACUAAUAACAAUUUACCAUAUAUAUUUGAAUUACUUAAUUUUUUAAUAAUUAAUUAAUAAUUAAAGAAAAUAACUGAAAAGAUAAUUUUAUCUAUUGCGGAGUCUUUUUAUGAAAGGCAAAGAGUUGAAUCACUUUUCUAAGGGUCUUCACACUUUUAAUAUACUAGUUUAGGUGUACGCGCUUCGCGCGUGUAUCUUAGUUUAAUGAAUUCAAUUUUAUAAAAUCAUUCAAGAUAAUGAUUUUUCAAAAAGUGUAUUGCAUUUUUUGUUUGUUAGCAUCUUCACAUUACAGCUGCUUUCAGCUAUUAUUCAAUUCUAUGAAAAAAGUAGAAAUUAGCCAACCGAAAAGCAAGUAUCUUACUUUAAACACAAGAAAAUUUAUAAAGAAGAGUAUAUUCUCUUUAGUCCUCCCUUGAGCCAUUUUCCUUAGCUCUUGUCUCUUUCUUUAAUCCUCUCAAUCUCUCUUUUCAACUUAUUUAAUUUCAUAUCAACACAAUUAUUAUUUUGUUUGAAUUCUUUAGGCUUGUUAGCUUCUUCAGGAAAUUCCUUAACUAAUCUGUUCAACCCAAUUAAUUUCUCAACUUCAUUGGCUGAUGUAUGAUAUUCAAUAUGUUGGGAAGAUUCCUCGAAAAAUAUUUUUGUCAACUAACAUUUAUAUUUAGGAUUUUAUUAUAGUAGGUAGAUAGAUUAACUCAAUUUACAAUGAAUAAUGUACUUGAUUUGUCUUCAAACCUAAUUAGUAAGCCCAAAAUUGAAAGAGUCGGCUAUAAUACUAAAUUUAUAUGUUCAUCAUUCAAACAAAAGUUAUGCAAAUCAAGAUUCAACACUUAUUAUAAGCUUAUAUUUAGAACUCAACCAAUAAGUUUAAUUAAUAAUCCAAGUAUAAUACCAAUGAAAUAGUUAAAUAACAUAAUCAAAACAAAGUCACAAUUACAUAAAGGAAGAAAAAAAAAAGAGAUAAACCUUUGAUAUUUUUGACCACUUUACUUGAUGGCGACAUAUUUAUUUCUUUCAAUUUUUGAUUAAAAAUUUCCUAUUGAAAGAGAAACACGAGAAAUUAUCAAAAGAGAAAAUUAUAUUGUCAGUUGUGGAUGAUUUAAUCAUAAUUUAUAUCGUAUAAUCUUUAAAGUUAUUAACUAAAAAGAAUAAAGAAAGACAGAGAAGAUGAUAAUUAAUUAGGACUACACACACAAAAAAAGAAAAAGACAACUUGAAUUAAUAACGAAAUAAGGAGAAAAAAUAAAAGUAGAGCUAUGUUUCUUGUAAAUUUGAUCCAAAAUAUAUUAAUUAAAUAGAAUUGUAAUUUUUAUUUUAACCAAUUAAUUAAAGUUUUUAAAGAUUUAUUUAAGAUAGAAUUUUUAAUUGAUUUAAAAUUCCUAAAUUUUAGCUAAAAAAGAAAAAGAAAAAGAUAACUUGAAUUAAUAACGAAAUAAGGAGAAAAAAUAGAAGUAGAGCUAUGUUUCUUGUAAAUUUGAUCCAAAAUAUAUUAAUUAAAUAGAAUUGUAGAUUUUUUUUUCUUUAUAUAACAUAAAAUUUUAAGUGAUUUAGAAGUGUUAAAUAUUAUGAAUUCUUACUUAAAUUAAAUAACCAAAUCAAAAGAAGUUAUACCUAAAAUAAAUUGGGAACAAAACUUUUAGCAAAAAGGAUUCUUACGUGAAGAUAAAAAAUGUCAAAAUAGUACUCACCAAUUAAUUAAUAUUUUUAAAGAUUUAUUUAAGAAACAACUUUUAAUUGAUUUAAAAUGCCUAAAUUUUAGCUAUAUAAUUCUAAUAAGGAAAGGUUUAAGAACUAAAUUUUAAUGAAUUUUUAAGUUAUAAAUUUUUUUUAAAAUGUAAAAAUAUAUUUACGUCUAUUGCAUAUUUUUGUAAUGAAGGAUAAAAAGUUUAAAUUAUUUUUUUCAAGGGUUUUUACACUUUUAAUAUAUUAUAAAUAUAGAUAUAUAUAAAGGAGAAUUAAGACAGUUGUGAUGUGGCAUGUCCCUCCGUUCACAUUUAUCUUUUUUCUCUUUUUUUGACAAUUUUUUUAAUUUUUUUCUUUGUUUUCUACUCAAAAGGUUUAAACAAUAUACUAUCCAUUCAUUGAGUGUAAUUAAUAAUUAUUGUAAUUAAGCUAAUGAAAUUGAAAAGUCCCCAUCAACUAUAUAGUCUGCUGUCCAUCGUGCCAUCUCCCCUUUAUUAAUUUUGAGAAUAUUAAUUUUAUUACAUACUCAGAAAAAUCAACCGUCAUCUUUAAUAAUCUUAAGCAUACCACUUUAUUCUAUUAAUUACACCUUUUCCUUUUCUCUGAAUCUGUUUCAGAUAGAAUUUUUUAUAUACCAGGUAAAUGAGAACAAAUUGAACAUAGGUCUAAUUAUCUAAAAUGAUUUGUUGGAAUUUAUUAGCACAUGGAAAAGAUAUCUUAUUUCUCUUAUAAUUUAGGUAGUUGAAUGGUAUUUAAUGCAUCGUGCAAGUAUUCUUUUUAUUUUUUUGUUUUUAUUUCUUCUUUGUUCAUUAUUUUAUUUUCGAAAUGUUUUUAACUUCGUUUAUCUAUCUUUUUUUUUCGAAAGAAAAUUUUAUUGUGAUUUUUCUUAAGUUUUUGAUGAAUUAGAACGUUAUCGCCCGCAAGUUAUCAACAUUUUAUCAUUAAUUCAUGGUGUCAAUAGACAACAUUUAUUUGUUGCGCUUAUCUACAGAUAGCGUACGGGAUUGGCCAUCUGCUAGGAAAAAAUAGAUGGAUGAAUAAGUUCAUACUGUCCUUGAGAUCGUGAAUUGAUUUUGUUACUAUCAGUAUUUUGUGCUUUAAAUUAUGCUUUGAGUGAUAAAUAAUUAAAUGAUCUUAGUAUAGGUGCUUCAACUAUGAAUGACGGGGUCUUUGCAGGGAGUUAUUAUUUUUCUACUACUCCAAAUAGAAUUUUUCGUCAUUCACCUUCUUCCACAAAUUUUCUACUAAUAGAAUUUUUUUCAUCAUUCACCUUUUUUCACAAUUGUAAAUGCUAAUUAGGAUUUGCAUUUAAAAUACAUAAUCUGUCUUAGAAUAAAAUAUUGUUAUUAUGUAUAAAGCUGGACAUAAAUAAAGUGAUAUAUGACACUUUUCUACGACUAACGUUACUAUUUAUUUUUUUGUGAAAUUUUUGAUAGUUUUCGUCAAUUUCUUCCUUCAAAUAUUAUUUAAAUAAAGGCUUCUUGUAUGCAUUGAUUGUUAAAGAAAAAAAUAUCUCUGUGUUGAAUUUUAAGGUAAAGAAAUUGUUAUUUUCCUGCAUUAAAACUAUUCUAAAUUCAUUAGAAUUAUACAUUCAGAAAAGAAUUGAAUUGAAUAAUAAAAUUUCAGUUUCAAAAACCCCUCAUUUUCGGAUACUAAAUGAAAGAAAAAUGAUGAUUUUGCAAAUUAUAUUAUGAUACAAUAAAAAGAUUGAAGAAGUGAACAAAGAAACAAAUGAUUGGUGUUGUGAAGGCGAAGUUGCAGGUUGGCAUCGACAAACCAAUAAGUGAUCCACAUGAAGCAUCAAUUAUUCAGUAUCACCGGGCUUUUCUUUUUUGACUUUUAUUUUGGUGAAUUAUUCUUUAACAUGGUGAGCACAUAUCUAAAAGUACUGUUGAUCUUUAUUUAUAAGUCUGGAAGUGUGAAAUUGCGUUUGAAAUGUAUCAUUUCUGUGUGGUACCUAUAUUGCUUGAACCUUUUAAAAUUAUUGAUGUAUCCUCCAAAGUGUACUAUUUCUGAAGAAUUCAUAUAUAGGCGUUGAUAUUUUUAAAGAGUUUAAUUAACAUAAUGUGGUAUUGUGUAGCCUCUUUUCAGAUUUGAUUUGUGCAAGUAAUUUCAAAUAUACAUAUCAAUGAGAUGAGUGUGUGAAUAUUUGUGGUAAGUUAAAAUUGCACUGUAACGAAAAAAGUGACUAUUCACUUCGGUAUAUGUAAUUGAAAUUGUGCCAAGUAUGUCUGUCAAAAAGAGCGAAAAUCGUUUUCCCUGAAGUUUGUCUUAAAAAUCAAUCUCCAACUAUCAACAAUAAUCAACCUCCCCCCUUUAUCCCAUGCAAUAUCCAUUUUUUCCUUGUAAUAUGAUAAUGUUUAUGGACAUUGCAUAAAAACAUAAACAUUUAUCUUCAUUUUUAAAAAAAAAUCAUAUAACAAAAUCUUCAUAAAAACAUAAACAUUAUCUUCUAAGAAAAAAAUAACUAAUUAAGUAUAUAAGCUAAUGAUGAUCUUUAUGAAGUAAAUUAGCAUGAUAUAAGAAAAUAAGUUUUAUUAAUAAUAAUCAAAAAUAUAAUAUUUAUUUUACAAGUGAAAAUAAUAAGUAAUACUAAUUUUAUAAACAUAUUUCAAUGCAAAAAAUACGAACAAUAAAUGAAAGAGAUUAGUCUCUAGUAAAACCUUUAUUACAUAAAAUGGAGCCCACGUCAAAGGUGUUACGCCAUCUAAAAUAAUUGACAAAGGGUAUCAUGUUAGCUAAAAAGUUUGACAAAAAUACGCUAAAAUUUAGUUUAAGGGGUAAUAGGACCCCCGUGUAGUUGACGUGUGUCGUAGCAAAUCUGAUCAUAGUUCGGGGGCACUAGAUGUUUUUUUCGAAUAAAAAUAAGGUCAAAUUUUAAAGAUUAUAUUAUUUAUAUAAAUUAUAAAAUAUGUAAUACUCUAUUAAUGACAAUCACAACUUAUUUACUGAUAUAGACAAUAGAUAAUAUCGUUUCUUAUCACUUGAUCCUCA
rnacentral:lncRNA from 1 species